AUGCAUCAUUAAAAUAUUCUUUUUUGCAAACAAAAGAACCUAAACAUCGAUUUAACAAAACAGUCGUAUCAAAUUUUAUGGUAAUCAAACCAUUGGUAUCAAUUCCCAAUUGUUUGACCAUAAUAAACAUCGUGUGUAGAAUAGUAAUACACACAGUUAUUUGCCUUAUCGUAAGCGCUUCCUCAAACAUGUUUAGCAUGCGGCAAUGUUAUGCAAAACAUAUGAUUAGGGGAAAACCCAGCCAUAUUAUUGUAUCUGUUUGACAGACGACCGUUUGACAUAGACAGACAAAAGAUUCACCUGUCGAACGAACAACAGUAACUACUAUUGUAAAGAAACAACCCUAACCAAACCCGUUUCAUACAAUGCUUUUAUGCACCCUAUUUUACUUAAAUACACGUGCGUUUUUAUAAUUAUUGUUUGCGGUUAGUUUCCAUGCAGGGAAAGCAUACAUUAUACGCAAUACACAGUGCAUACGCUUUUUUUUUUGUUCGUAUAUCCUAAGGGCAAAAUUAUUGCUCGCGAUUUAAAGCUUAAAAUACCACUUCGUUUAAAAUGAUUCCUCUCUCUUGAGUUGACUUUAAAGGUUCUAAACAAAGAGCUCCUUUCAAUGCGGUUACAUUUUAUUUUUAAACAGUACAUGCUUGAAAUUAACUUAAACUCCCACAUGCCAUCAGUAGUGGGUGACUGACCCAAUCAAUGUGAUUGCUCUCAGUACAAUAAAAUACUUAAUUACUAUACCAUUAGCGUUCCAUUUUGUUUAUCAUUUAACCGCCCUUCUUUUCCUUUCGCGUCUCUUCCAAUUCUUUUUCUAAACAAGAUAAUUCAUAACAGAUUUCCUAACGAAUUGAGCAAACUGUAUUGUUAUUAGUUGUUGAAUAACAAUACGUAACAACUAAAACACAAAGUUCAAAUUCAUUUGUUAACACGACUAUGCUAAUUAUGACCUAAAUAGCCGACAUGUAUGAACAGGCGACAGACUUAAUUGCCGAAAUCAAAUACAGUCGUGCAACGUUGCAAAUGAGACAUAAGGUAUCGUGGGAUCCCAAUACAUGUACAUAUCUUAAAUCUGAUUAUUAUUUAUGUUAUGGAUCGGAUGAAUAUGUAUGAGAUUGAGCUUUUACGUACAUUGGUAAUACUAGAUUGCGAAAGAGAUGUUUAUCGACAGACGAACAAUAAUAGUACAGAUAAUGAAACAGAAGGUUUGUGCUUCGGACUCCAAUAUAAACAAACAGAGCGCCAAGCACGAAUAACUAUCGCAUUCGUAAUGUAAACGUAUCGAGAUGACGAUACGUCAUGAGACGUUAACGGAGUGUGGCAGCACGAAGCCUAUUCUUUCAACUAUCGAGAGCUCGCAUCGAAUUCGAUAGUGACGUCAUGCUAAUGUAAACUAGAGAAGCAGCCAAGUGAACGAUUUGAAUGACUUGUUGAGCAUAAAGAUUUCGUCUGAAAACUAAAUUAAAUUUAUAUAUAUAUUUCAACCUUUGUCUACACGUUUUAUGAAAUAAUAUUUAUUAAAUAAAUAUUAAUUAUGUGCAAAAAGUUCUUAAAGCGAGUUAAGAGAAAUAUAACGUGACAUUAUCUAUGAAAAAAAAUAAGUACUUAGUUUCAUAAAUUUAUAAAUUUUUUUAUGAUUUCCGAACGUCGUAUUUGACAUUUGUCAUUUGCCGGUUGUUUGUUUGUUAUUUUAUCUUAUGUAAAUAAAUAACAAUUUUAACAUGUUACAUUUAAAAUGAGGACGAUUCAACUCCAAUAUGAGCUAAUGAUGGAAUUUAUGCAAAAAUUGGAAUAUUUGUGGGACCAGUCCAAUAUUACUGGGAGCAGUGGGCCUACUGUAUUCCUACCACACCACUCACUGUUCCUCACGAAGCCUACCCUUCGCCAGCGCCUCCACCAACACCACCGAUCCUCCAUCCGAGGAAGAUAGCUGGAAUCCUCCACCAGUGAAAAAACCUAAAGCGAGUUUGAUUAAAAUGUGUAUAGAGAAUGACAAGAAUUGAUUAUUUUUUAUAACUUACUGUUAAUUUUAUAUUUAUUUCAAUUUUUCUGUUUUUAUGUUAUUUUAAAAUAUUAUCAAAAUAUUGUUAAUGGCAUUGUAUUUAUAAUAAUUAUUCUAACUGUGUCAAUACUGUGAAUGUGGUGCAUGUCUAUAAUUGGCAUAACCACAUGAUCUUGUGUCUUCAUCUUGUUUUUCAUUAAUGUCUUAUAAUAAUAAAUAAAUAAAUUAUAUAUUAUUGGGAUUAAGAUUAGAAUAAAAUAGUUUUUAAGUUAUUUAUAUAUGUAUAUACAUUUUAUUAACUAUAAAAAGAGGAUUUUGUAGAAAAAAGUAAUAAAACACUUGAAAUAACUA